AGGACAUGCAGCAGGCGGCGAGAUCGGUUUCAGUAGUUGUGAUUGUAAACAUAGCGCAGAGCUGGAGACAGACAGAAGAGUUUGGCAGCGGAGUCGGGCCGGUGGCAGCAAGCCAGAGAAAUGAAUGAGUAACAGCGGAUCACAAAGUCUCCCAGGAUGCCGUUGGUCGCGAUCUUGGCCUGUUGCACGAUGUUGGGGCUGAAGGCGGCGCUGCAGAAGCUCCUCGUAGGUGAGCAGGAAGACGGCCCGGUUCCUACCCGGUAUACUGGCCGCCAUCCUGAACACCUCCACUUCUGGCUCGGGACUGGAGAGGAGAGAGGAGGUGGUCCACAAUCUGCAGGCUCUCGUUGCUGCUCAGGUGACCUGUAAGAGUCUUACAUGGUGAAGUUGGAGACGUAAGCUCCGGCGGGGAUCUGAAACUGGAAGACGCCCUCGGUAGCG